GUUCAGUGUAGAGUUCAGUAAGGGAAGCCUCUCUGUUCUAAUUAAAUUUUGGGUCAUUGAAUUGGGUUCAGGGAAAUGACUGAAUAGAGAGUAUUAGAAUACUCAUAUACUUCUUGCCUACAUAG